GGGGAUUUAGCUCAGUGGCAUAAGCACCUGCCUUGCAAGCAGGAGGUCAUGAGUUCGAUCCCCG
rfam:Cavia porcellus supercont2_34 genomic scaffold, whole genome shotgun sequence.